rnacentral:rRNA from 1 species
GAUGAACGCUGGCGGCGUGCUUAACACAUGCAAGUCGAACGAAGAUGCCGGAGUGCUUGCACUUUGGCAGACUGAGUGGCGGACGGGUGAGUAACGCGUGGGUAACCUGCCUUAUACAGGGGGAUAACAGUUGGAAACGACUGCUAAUACCGCAUAAGCGCACGGUAUCGCAUGAUACAGUGUGAAAAACUCCGGUGGUAUAAGAUGGACCCGCGUCUGAUUAGCUUGUUGGUGAGGUAACGGCCCACCAAGGCGACGAUCAGUAGCCGGCCUGAGAGGGUGAACGGCCACAUUGGGACUGAGACACGGCCCAAACUCCUACGGGAGGCAGCAGUGGGGAAUAUUGCACAAUGGGGGGAAACCCUGAUGCAGCGACGCCGCGUGAGUGAUGAAGUAUUUCGGUAUGUAAAACUCUAUCAGCAGGGAAGAUAAUGACGGUACCUGACUAAGAAGCACCGGCUAAAUACGUG